rnacentral:rRNA from 1 species
UACGUAGGGUGCGAGCGUUGUCCGGAUUAUUGGGCGUAAAGAGCUCGUAGGCGGUCUGUCGCGUCGGGCUGUGAAAACUCGGGGCUCAACCCCGAGCCUGCAGUCGAUACGGGCAGACUAGAGUGCAGUAGGGGAGACUGGGAAUUCCUGGUGUAGCGGUGAAAUGCGCAGAUAUCAGGAGGAACACCGGUGGCGAAGGCGGGUCUCUGGGCUGUAACUGACGCUGAGGAGCGAAAGCGUGGGGAGCGAACAGG